rfam:Triticum urartu cultivar G1812 contig119321, whole genome shotgun sequence.
AUAGUACUCCCUCCGUUUCAAAUUACUUGUCGCGGGUAUGAAUGUAUCUAGAUGUAUUUUAAUUCUAGAUACAUCCAUUUCUACGACGAGUAAUUUGGAACAGAUGGGAGUAUGAA